rnacentral:rRNA from 1 species
GACGAGCGCUGGCGGCGUGCCUAAUACAUGCAAGUAGAACGCACAGUUUAUACCGUAGCUUGCUACACAUUAACUUUUGAUUUCCAACGGGGUGAUUACGCGGAAGGAAACUUGCCUGGAAGCGGGGAAUAAUUAUUGGAAAGGUUAGCAAUUCCGGAUAAUUUUUGUUUAUUCCUGGUUAAUUGAUUAAAAGAUCCUAUUCAAUCCUUCCCAGAUGAACUUGCGUUGUAUUAGCUAGUAGGUGAGGUAACGGCUAACCUAGGCGACGAUACAUAGCCGACCUGAGAGGGUGAUCGGCCACACUGGGACUGAGACACGGCCCAGACUCCUACGGGAGGCAGCAGUAGGGAAUCUUCGGUAAUGGACGAAAGUCUGACCGAGCAACGCCGCGUGAGUGAAGAAGGUUUUCGGAUCGUAAAGCUCUGUUGUAAGAGAAGAACGGGUGUGAGAGUGGAAAGUUCACACUGUGACGGUAUCUUACCAGAAAGGGACGGCUAACUACGUG